CGCAUACAUGUGUCGGAAACAAAAGUGGCACCGACAGUUCUCUCAAAGGAGCCGUGUUCUGCGCAGACACCCGCAGCCCCUGUCCAACAUACAGCCAGACUUGGCCUGAAUUAUUUCUUGCGUGAGAUUCAAGGACUCUUAUUGGGGUCUGGAUCAGGAACCCUUUCUGGUAACAGAUGUGCCUGGGGGAGAAGGGGCCAGGAGGAAGGUGAUGCAGAGGCCACCUCCACUAACCCUCAACAGCGUACACCACCUCUGCCACUCCCACUUCACAGGCGAGAAAACCAAGGCUUAGUGCGGUGGGGCCAAGUGCUCAGCGGACACAGCUGGAGAGCGGCGGGCCAGGAUUCCGCAUAAAAAAAGCAGCCCUCUCAGAUCCUGGGAGGACAAACAGGAGAGCUCAUUCCCUAUUCUCCAGCUUCCAUCUCAAAGUCUCCAGGAACCCCCAGCAACCAAAAUAUUCUUGUAAGUGAAUAAGGAAAAGCAAAGCCAACAGGUGAUUCUCGAUGCUCCCGUAGGCCCCAGGGAGUGGAGAAGCACCACGCUCCAAGUGCCUGGACAGAGAGGGAUCUGCCAACGGGAGCUCGGUCAGAAAGAGGAGGAGGGGGAGCCAGGGCAGGGGGCAAAGAAAGAGAGUUCAGUGAGGGGGCAGCACGUGCCAAGGCCCCAAGGAGUGUCCCGGGCAUGGAAUGUUCCGGCAACCAAGAGAAGGCCGUGUGGGUUUGAGUGCAGACAAGGGGAAAGCGGCUCAGCACAGCCAGGGAAAGCCAGCCAGAGUGAGGGACAACGGCCCAGGAAUGGCUGGGGAGCUGCGGCUCUGUCUGGAAAGCAGUGGGUGGGCGUCACUGGCACCUGCUGCCAUCUAUGGAUUCACCCAAGCCAAGGAUGAAGAUGGGGAACCAGCAGGCUCAGGACACAACAUGGGCCCAUCCCUCGUUGACUCCCAUUAGCAGACAGCGACCCGUGCAUGAGCUGCUCUGGGGGACGGCAGCUUCUGGCUCAGGGGCCAGCCUGCGUGUCUCUGCCAUGGCGGGUCAUAACCUCAUCAGCCUCCUUCCUGAAACCCGAAUGCCACACGCCUGCUGAGUUUCUCAGGAUCUCACAAAUCCUACCCCAGUCCCCAACAUCCUGGCCAGCCUGACAGUUACUUCCUGGAGCAUCUUCCAGAGUUCCGUCGGGUUUGCUGACCCUGGUUGAGUGAUGGCAUUUUCUAGCUCUUUCUGUCUGUACCCCAGAAUGUAGCUUGUCUAAGCCCAGUGACUUAAGCCCAAUCUAUUCAUUUCACCACUGUCCCCUGGCAGGAGGAAUUCCUCUGAAAAGACCCCAGGAGCCUGGCGAGGGGUACGCUGGGGAGGCAGCUGGUGACAAGGCCUGGGCAGAAAGCCUGCUUUUCACUAAGAAUUCUUUGAACAUUUUGAAUUUUGUACUAUUUGCAGAUACUGCCUAUUCAAAAAUAAGUAAUUAAUUGAAACAAUGAGAUCAUUCUCUUUGAUACAAAAAGGCAAAACCCUAACCGGAGUCCUGUCGUUCUGCUGUUAUCUCAUCCCGGGCUGGAAUCUGGUCACCCCAAACUCCCCACGCCCCAGCCUCAGCGUCUCCAUCUGUAAACCAAGGCCCAGGCCCUCGGACCUUGGUGGGGGGGCUCCACUUUGUGAGUCUGACUUGUCAUAGCCUGAAGCUGUGGCCUGGGCCCCUGUCUCCGUCCCACUCGCAGGCUGGUUAAAUCCCGGGAGUCAAAACCUCCAGGAGCAGGUUCCGUGGUCUGAGAGUCCA
rnacentral:lncRNA from 10 species